rnacentral:lncRNA from 10 species
GAACUACAUUCUCCAGGCCAUUAGCUGCUCUUUCCACUUUGGGCCUCUCAGCUGUGCAGCCGGAAAUGGAUCGUGGGGAGAGGAGCUGCCACUCUUCUGCAAAUAUCCUGGAAUCUUGGCUAUGUCAGGAAGUGUUUGGAGAAUGCCUUGGAAGCUGAGAAAGUGUUUCCAAAGCAGCAUGCACACGAAGAUAUUUGAACCAGAGAACGUCCACUCUGAAAUAGAUGCAUGGAGUGCAUUCACAGAAUAUCACGUUUUUCUGAAGUUUAAAAGCUACAGCCCAGUACUCUGAACCCAAGAAUUAAGGGAGUUAAGAGAGCAAAUCAAGACAUGAAAAUGAUCCCCCCGUGGAAUAUGCCCCUGCUAUUGAGAGAAUAAACUACUGAUCUACGCAACAGCAUGGAUGAAUCUCAGAGACAUUUUGCUAACUGAGAGAAGUCAGACACAGAAGACAUAGUCAAUGAUUCCAUGUGUAUGAAAUUUCUAGAAAAGGCAAAACUAUAGAGACAGAAUGGCUGAUCAAUGUUGUGGCUGAUCAAAUCGAGGCACAGAAUGAUCAAUGGUUGCCUGGAGCUGCGGGUGGGAACAGGAGUGACCUCAAAGGAGCAAGGGGAACUUUUGGGGGUGGAUGGGAAUAUUGGGAAACUGGACUGUGAUGGUUGCUAAGUGCGUCAGUUCACGGAAACCUAUCACACUGUACCCUCACAAUGAGU